AGUGCGUUUGUUAAGUGAGCGCGUUCCCUCCGUGUCAGCAGGUUUUGGACGAAUUUCAUUUUGCGAAUGAUGUUGUUGUUAGUGUAAUGAUACCCCCGCGUUUUUUUCACAGUAUGUCUGGUCGUGGAAGAGGCAGUAGAGGAGCUAGAGGUGGACGUGCAACUACCGGUAGUGUUCCUGGUGCAAAAGUCGGGGGAACGGAAAUUUUUAUUUCUUGUGAAUUUUGUAUACAUGUUGAUGAUCAUAUUGUUGCUAUCCCGGAAAUUAUUUUCUGUACACACAAAAAAUAUGAAGACAGAUAUGGCGGGGAAAAGCAAGUGAUAAACGGAGUAGAUGUGUACAUAUAGAGAACGAGAGAAAAAUAUCACCACACCACAAUGGAACCUUUACCGAUUGUGAUUAAAUACGAAAAUGCUAAUAACGUAACACAACCGCCACCCUUUUCAACAGAUACACAAGAACAAACAUUUAUAAACGUGUUGAAAAGGAUCGAAGAAUCGUCGAUAGCAGAUGUGGGCAUUUUGGUAGAAACUUGGCUUAAGAAUUUAGAUAGAAGUAGUUUCACAAAAGAACACUUGAAUAAGUAUAAAAUGGUAUCUUUAGGGUUAAAAUCGACAAAUCCGAAAAUAUUUAAUUUUGGUGGUGUUGCUAUAUACUACAAUACAGCUACUGUAGAUGUGACAGACAUAGAAGUCAACUAUGAUAUUGAACAAGUUUUUUGCAAGAUUCGGUUAAAAAAUAAUCCCAAAAAUGUCAUAAAUCUUUGCGCAUUUUAUAUUCGCCAAGAUGCACAAGUUGGAAAAAACCAACUGCUCAAAUCAGCAGAGGUCGUGUGAGAGCCAAAAGAGUGUGAGAUUUUCCUGUUCCUGGUUGAGAUUGCACCAAAGUAAGACUCUUGGAAUUGUUUAAAACGUAAUGCGUAAAUGUGCUUUGAUAAAUGUCCAGUAUCACACAUAAACUUUUCAAACUUAAACUGUCAGUUCGCAGUUUUGCGACUUCGGUCAUAUAUUCGUUGAUGCGAGUAUAGUGUGAGUACGGCUUACCAGUUAAUAAGGCGCGAACUAAGACGACAAUUCACUUCGCAAGAAUUCGACCGCUUCGCACACACUGUUACUGGUAAACCGUAUACACAAGCCACAGUUUGUUUUGAUUCGCAUGAACGAAUAUAUGACCGAAGUAGCAAAUGGUGAAAUGUUUUGUAUACCAGCCGAUCACCUGGUGACGUGCGUCGCUGAGAAGUUUUAUUGAAUUUGUUGUAAAAUUGAACGAACUUUAUUCCGAGGAAUUAGAACUUUUCAAGGAAGGAGGAGGAGCGUUGAAAAGAAUAAGAAAAGCAUUGUUUAAGAGCGCAGAAACGCUGAAUUGAAACGAAAUGUUUUUUUUUAUUUUCUUCUUCUUUUUUUGAGCACUUGGACUUAGCGGGACUUAGACCAUUUAUGCAUCAUAUCGAUACAUAUGAUUUAGAACAAUAAUAACAUUAACGUUUUAUUUUGCAUUUACGUAUGUAUUUUGACCAAUUGUGGCUAGCCGUUUGAAACAAAUAUUCAUAAAAUCAGAAACAAUCAGAAUUGUUCAUGUGGUAAUUAUUUAUUCCAUGUUCCACGAUGUUCCAUGGAAAAAAAUUAGAGAAGAAUGAUUUGCUGAAGAAUAGACCGGAAUAAACGGAAACCAAACACUGCACAGUUGAGUCUGGUUGAAUCAAUUUGGCUCUCUAUUGAUGUUUACUGGACUAGAGUGUUUUCGGAAUCGGUUAAUCAAAAAAUGAUAUGCCUCAUUCGAUAGAUCUCAGAAUUCUGAGUCGAUUGAUAAUAUUUUUGUCGCGGAUGGACUUGUGAUGACACUUCCCGAAGCUGAAAACAAAAACAGUUUGUAUUUCCAUAGUAACCUGUGACAACCAGAUUUGAUUUGAAAUUUGAAAGCAAAAAUUUGACAAGAAAACAUAAAAUUGAAUCUAGUUGUCACACGUUACUAUAGAAAUUCAGAAUAGAACAUUUUUUGUUUUUUGUUGCGGGAAGUGUCACCACAAGUCCAUCCGCGACAAAAAUGUUAUCAAUCGACUCAGAAUUCUGAGAUCUAUCGAAUGAGACUUACCAUUUUUCGAUUGAACGAUGCCGAAAACACCCAACGUGGACAUAAUCGGACAUAAUAUUAUUUAGAGUGGAAGGAAAGAAUUAUUCUAAUCAUUAAUUUCUUUUAAAUUGAAAAUAAUUGAAAUAUAUUAUUUUUUUUAAUUUGUAUGAUUUGAAUCAGAAUACUCAAAUCAAAAAUUAUUAUACUUUGAAUGUAUUCAUUUCACACAGAUAGCUGGCUAACGAUUGGCUUACACCAGUUGUUGGUGUAAGCCAACCCAAUGAACACAUGUAAUGCUAAAUGUUUGAAUUUUGUGCAUAUUUUAAUGUAAUGCUAAAUGUAGCACUAAAAGUGCAAAAAUUGUGAAAUUUUUGGACCUAUUUAGAUAAAAUUUUGUUUCUGGGCACAAUAUGUGUAAGAAUUGUGCACGAUUUGGGAAUAAAUCUACUAUGCACAAUAAUUGCACGUGUUUGGCUCAUUGGGAAGGCAAAGACAAUGCUGGCUAACGAAAAAUCAUCACUGCUGUACAGUGACACAACAAAAACUUGUAUCACACUCGGACGAGAAGGUGAAAGAACAAUCUGACGAUAUUAACAAAAUUCAUCUGAAAAUUAUUGAAAUGUAUGUAAUCCACCCCAAACACGUUUUGAAACCAAUGUAUGCCGUACACGUAUAUCACUAGCGCAAAGUCUAAUCUGUUCUGUAUUUCUGUCUUUCUGCUGUGUGCUUUCAUACAGUGUACUAUUAGCAUGUGUUUUUAAUCACUCAUUUUGGAAUAUCAAUGUGUGAACAAUUCAACUCUCGGUGAAACAUGAGUUCAUUUUGUUUUGAUGUUUCAAGUGCUUUGGUUCUUCUCAAGUGUUUCAGUUGUAGCAUAGACGCGCAAUUGCAAUGGCGUUUGAGAGCUUCAAAGCAGUGUGCACUUUAAAUGCGUGUCGGUGAAUAAGAAUGGAAAAUUUGAUAAAGUUUUUUAUUUUGAAAUUGAAUUUUUUAUAAAAUGUUUUCACUAACCAAGCUCAAGCCACACAAACUUUAGUGUUUCAAAUGGAGCAACCUACAAAGUUUUGGUUUUGUUUAUUUGUUCAUGGCUUGAACGUUCACCUAAAUGGCGUUUUUAUCAGUACAGUUUCUUUUUUGUGGAAUUAACUUUUAGUGAACUGAUUUAAAUGUAAAAUUCGAAUGAGUGAAAUGACAAUUCAGCACAAUUCAUGAAAAGAUACCACUCACAAUAUGAUAUAUGACUCGUUGAUAUCGGUGUAUCAAUUAAUAAAGAGAAUAAUUGGAACGAAAAUGACUCGAAUGAUUUGGUUUUUUGUAUUGCCUCAAUACGUUCGAAUUGCCGUUUGUUCAACUACACCACUAAAACGAGAAACGUCACUCAUUCUUUUUUCUUUAUUAAAGAAAAAGAAUUUUGGCAGUGCGGGACUCGAACACCGCA